rnacentral:lncRNA from 1 species
AACAAUUGAAGAAGUGAUAACUUCUACGCCUCAACCGAUUCCAGUUCCAACAAUUGAAGAAGUGAUAACUUCUACGCCUCAACCGGUUCAAGUUUCAAGAAUUGAAGAAGUGACAACUUCUAUGCCUCAACGAGUUGAAGUUGUAGAUGAUUUUUUGAAUUCUUUAGAACGUGAUCCUGGAAAGCGUUCCCCAAUAUGGUCAUAUUCACCAAAUCAUGUCGAUCAAAUACGAAGAGCUUAUUUGAAAUGGGGUUCAUAUCGAAUCCUUUUAGAAGAAUAUCCUUUGUCCGGUAAAGAGAAUCAUCUAAGACGGUUUCAACACACUUGGUUCGACAUCUUUCUUUUUUGGCUAGAAUAUUCACCUUCAAAGGAUGCCGCAUAUUGCUUACCAUGUUAUCUUUUUAGCAAAGAACCAAGUGUCUUUAUUACUACAUGUUUUAAAGGUUGGAAAAGAGUGAGAGAUGGAAUUACUUGAAGGUAAUAGUGGUUACAAUUAAUUGAAGGAAUUCGAUUUCAUACUGAUCUUGCAUUUGAUGAAAGAAAUUAGGGGGAUAACAGAUGUGCUUUGUCAAACUUUGCAACAACAAUCUCAAGAUGCGGUUAAUACUAUGAAUUUAGUUCGUGCAACAAAAACUCUUAUUCAAGAACUGAGAGAAGAUGGUUGGGAUAAAUUGUAUACUAAUGUGACGUCUUAUUGUGUAAGACAUAUUAUUGAGAUUUAUGAUCUUAAUUGUACUCAUUCAACAAGAUUAGGACGCUCUCGUUUUGAAGAGAAUCAGGUCACAGUAGAGCAUUACUUUAAAGUUGAGAUAUUUUUUGCUAUCAUUGACCAACAAUUACAAGAGUUGAAUAGCAGAUUUAGUGAGGAAGUAAUGGAGUUGUUAACUCUAAGUUGUGCUUUGAAUCCCAAAGGUAAAUAAGGCUUUUAACAUUGAUAUUAUAUGCACUCUAGUUGAAAAAUAUUAUCCUAUGAAUUUCAAUGAGCAAGAGAAGAUUACUUUGCAAUUUCAACUUCGGCAAUUUCUCGUUGUUGCUCGCCAAUCAAAACAUUUGAACAAUUUAUCAACUAUUUAAGAGUUAUGUUCAUGUUUGGUUGCAACUGAUAGGGCGACAAUCUACUACUUGAUUGAUAGAUUACUCCGUCUUAUCAUGACUCUUCCAGUUUCUACGACCACAACCGAGAGAUGUUUUUCAGCAAUGAAAAUGAUUAAGACUAGGUUGCGAAACAAGAUGGAGGGUCGGUUUCUAGCCGAUAGCAUGACUGUUUACAUUGAAAGGAAAAUCGGUGCAAGUAUUAGUUCAGAUCUUN